rnacentral:rRNA from 1 species
UAACGGCGAGUGAAGCGGUAACAGCUCAAAUUUGAAAGCUAGCUCUUUUAGGGUUCGCAUUGUAAUUUGUAGAAGAUGCUUCGGGUGUGGCCCCGGUCUAAGUUCCUUGGAACAGGACGUCAUAGAGGGUGAGAAUCCCGUAUGUGACUGGGUGCUUUCGCUCAUGUGAAGCUCUUUCGACGAGUCGAGUUGUUUGGGAAUGCAGCUCAAAAUGGGUGGUAAAUUUCAUCUAAAGCUAAAUAUUGGCCAGAGACCGAUAGCGCACAAGUAGAGUGAUCGAAAGAUGAAAAGCACUUUGGAAAGAGAGUUAAACAGUACGUGAAAUUGUUGAAAGGGAAGCGCUUGCAACCAGACUUGCGCGCUGAUGAUCAUCCGGGCUUCUGCCCGGUGCACUCGUCUGCGCUCAGGCCAGCAUCGGUUUCGGUGGUGGGAUAAAGGCCUUGGGAAUGUAGCUCCUCUCGGGGAGUGUUAUAGCCCUCGGUGCAAUGCCGCCUACCGGGACCGAGGACCGCGCUUCGGCUAGGAUGCUGGCGUAAUGGUUGUAAGCGACCCGUCUUGAAACACGGACCAAGGAGUCUAACAUCUAUGCGAGUGUUUGGGUGUCAAACCCAUACGCGUAAUGAAAGUGAACGGAGGUGAGAACCCUUAAGGGUGCAUCAUCGACCGAUCCUGAUGUCUUCGGAUGGAUUUGAGUAAGAGCAUAGCUGUUGGGACCCGAAAGAUGGUGAACUAUGCGUGAAUAGGGUGAAGCCAGAGGAAACUCUGGUGGAGGCUCGCAGCGGUUCUGACGUGCAAAUCGAUCGUCAAAUUUGCGUAUAGGGGCGAAAGACUAAUCGAACCAUCUAGUAGCUGGUUCCUGCCGAAU